CACGAAGGGGGCUAGCGUUGCUCGGAUUGACUGGGCGUAAAGGGCGCGUAGGCGGUUCGUACAGUCAGACGUGAAAUUCCUGGGCUCAACCUGGGGGCUGCGUUUGAUACGUGCGGACUUGAGUGCGGAAGAGGGUCGUGGAAUUCCCAGUGUAGAGGUGAAAUUCGUAGAUAUUGGGAAGAACACCGGUGGCGAAGGCGGCGACCUGGUCCGAUACUGACGCUGAGGCGCGAAAGCGUGGGGAGCAAACAGG
rnacentral:rRNA from 1 species